UGAUCCCAGCUUGCUGGGGGAUUAGUGGCGAACGGGUGAGUAACACGUGAGUAACCUGCCCUUGACUCUGGGAUAAGCCGGGAAACUGGGUCUAAUACCGGAUACGACCAUUCCACGCAUGUGGUGGUGGUGGAAAGCUUUUGUGGUUUUGGAUGGACUCGCGGCCUAUCAGCUUGUUGGUGGGGUAAUGGCCUACCAAGGCGACGACGGGUAGCCGGCCUGAGAGGGUGACCGGCCACACUGGGACUGAGACACGGCCCAGACUCCUACGGGAGGCAGCAGUGGGGAAUAUUGCACAAUGGGCGCAAGCCUGAUGCAGCGACGCCGCGUGAGGGAUGACGGCCUUCGGGUUGUAAACCUCUUUCAGUAGGGAAGAAGCGUAAGUGACGGUACUGCAGAAGAAGCGCCGGCUAACUACGUGCCAGCAGCCGCGGUAAUACGUAGGGCGCAAGCGUUAUCCGGAAUUAUUGGGCGUAAAGAGCUCGUAGGCGGUUUGUCGCGUCUGCUGUGAAAGACCGGGGCUCAACUCCGGUUCUGCAGUGGGUACGGGCAGACUAGAGUGCAGUAGGGGAGACUGGAAUUCCUGGUGUAGCGGUGAAAUGCGCAGAUAUCAGGAGGAACACCGAUUGGCGAAGGCAGGUCUCUGGGCUGUAACUUGACGCUGAGGAACGAAAGCAUUGGGGAGCGAACA
rnacentral:rRNA from 1 species